AGUUUACAAGUUGAGACAAGGAUUAGUUGAAUUGGCCAAAAAUCUUAACAGUUUCUUCAACCAUACGACAAUCUUGAAUAACAUCAUGGAAAUCAAGUUAACGUGUUGGAUUGUUUUAGUGGUCCUUUGUCUCGUCAUGUUAAUUGUUAAAUCUAUUGAUGGUUCAAUCGCUUAUUUCGAGUCCUAUGGUUGGCCAAGCUACGGGAUUGUUAAACCAUUCUGGAUGAGACCAUUUUCAGAGUAUCCUGCUCGUUCAAUUUCUGGCUAUUCUAGGAAACAUUUUGUCCGUUCAGCUGGAAUCAUAUUAGGAUCGAGUAGCUAUUGAAUAAGAAAAAUUAAAUGCAACAAAUCACCGGCCAUUUAAAUAUGGAAGGUUUUGACAUAUAUUUAUAAAUCCAUCUACUCACCUUGAAAUCGCUGAUCACUAUUUAAUUUUCAUCUUCAUUCAGCUCACUUUAUGCAAUAAUUUUCAUGUAUAUAAUCAGUUAAAAUUAACUUAUUAACCAUAUUUGAAUUCAUUGGUAAACAAUGGCAAUUCAAUGUAUCCGAGCCAUUGCCAUUUCAAAAUUGCCAUUAACUGUACAAUCAUUAACAUUUUAUAUCCCCCUUAGAGUUCCUUGUAUAAAUAAUAAAAAUUAAUUAAUUUGAA